GCGGGCGUGGCGGAACUGGCAGACGCACCAGACUUAGGAUCUGGCGGUUAACCCCGUGGAGGUUCGAGUCCUCUCGCCCGCACCA
rnacentral:tRNA from 1 species